rnacentral:rRNA from 1 species
AGUGAACGCUGGCGGUAGGCCUAACCCAUGCAAUUCGAACGGCAGCACAGGAGGGCUUGCUCCCUGGGUGGCGAGUGGAGGGCGGGUGAGGAAUACAUCGGAAUCUACUCUGUCGUGGGGGAUAACGUAGGGAAACUUACGUUAAUACCGCAUACGACCUACGGGUGAAAGAAGGGGACCUCAGGGCCUUGCGCGAUGCAAUGAGCCGAUGUCGGAUUAGCUAGUUGCCGGGGAAAAGGCCCACCAGGGCGACGAUCCGUAGCUGGCCUGAGAGGAUGAUCAGCCACACUGGAACUGAGACACGGUCCAGACUCCUACGGGAGGCAGCAGUGGGGAAUAUUGGACAAUGGGCGCAAGCCUGAUCCAGCCAUACCGCGUGGGUGAAGAAGGCCUUCGGGUUGUAAAGCCCUUUUGUUGGGAAAGAAAUCCAGCUGGCUAAUACCCGGUUGGGAUGACGGUACCCAAAGAAUAAGCACCGGCUAACUUCGUGCCAGCCGCCGCGGUAA